CAGUGGAACUCCAUGUGUAGCGGUGAAAUGCGUAGAUAUAUGGAAGAACACCAGUGGCGAAGGCGGCUGUCUGGUCUGUAACUGACGCUGAGGCUCGAAAGCAUGGGUAGCGAACAGGAUUAGAUACCCUGGUAGUCCAUGCCGUAAACGAUGAAUGCUAGGUGUUGGAGGGUUUCCGCCCUUCAGUGCCGCAGCUAACGCAUUAAGCAUUCCGCCUGGGGAGUACGACCGCAAGGUUGAAACUCAAAGGAAUUGACGGGGGCCCGCACAAGCGGUGGAGCAUGUGGUUUAAUUCGAAGCAACGCGAAGAACCUUACCAGGUCUUGACAUCUUUUGAUCACCUGAGAGAUCAGGUUUCCCCUUCGGGGGCAAAAUGACAGGUGGUGCAUGGUUGUCGUCAGCUCGUGUCGUGAGAUGUUGGGUUAAGUCCCGCAACGAGCGCAACCCUUAUGACUAGUUGCCAGCAUUUAGUUGGGCACUCUAGUAAGACUGCCGGUGACAAACCGGAGGAAGGUGGGGAUGACGUCAAAUCAUCAUGCCCCUUAUGACCUGGGCUACACACGUGCUACAAUGGAUGGUACAACGAGUUGCGAGACCGCGAGGUCAAGCUAAUCUCUUAAAGCCAUUCUCAGUUCGGACUGUAGGCUGCAACUCGCCUACACGAAGUCGGAAUCGCUAGUAAUCGCGGAUCAGCACGCCGCGGUGAAUACGUUCCCGGGCCUUGUACACACCGCCCGUCACACCAUGAGAGUUUGUAACACCCGAAGCCGGUGGCGUAACCCUUUUAGGGAGCGAGCCGU
rnacentral:rRNA from 2 species